rnacentral:lncRNA from 1 species
UCUUGCCAAAAAGGUGCACAAGCACAGGUACCAGAGAUGCGUUUGGUGGGCAUCCUUCCAGAACUUCAGAUUCAGAAAAAGAGCAUUGGAACCAAAAACAAUCCAGCACGUCAGAAGAAAAAUAACUUCCAGGUCCAAUACAGAAGCCUCCCUCCUUGAACAGCAAUCAUCUAACACAAAAUCCACCGAAGAAGUCCUUCUGAGUGUCGUUUCAUCCCACAGUAUUUUACGCUUUGGGCCAAAGCCGUUCUCACUUAUACCACUGCCCUCAGACUUGAUCUUGGUGCUCUUUGGGAAGAGGGUGCUAAAAAAAAUGACAUAAAUUUUUGGUUUUAUGAAUGACUGAGAACCUAGUCUCAUGACCAAAAUGAAUAUAAAAGAACAAAAAAUAAAAUUGGCCUGAGGGGAAAAAAUACCUGAAUUUGUACCCACAAUCAAGUUGAGUCAGAAUGUAAAAUAUAUGUAGAAAAUGACAGAGUUUGAUCUGAAAAUCCUUAAAUCAAUGGGAUGCCUUAAUAAAAUAUCUCAAAGGAAAACUAUAGAAGUAUUCGUUAGGGGGAAAAUGCACGUACUUUUAAUCACGCAGAAUCCAACUUCAUUGAAAACAUACUGAGGGAUUACGUGGGGAGGAACACAGAACACCCAGAAUCUGCCCGUGAUAAGGAAUCAGUUUUCAGAGGGAAGAUCUGCGUCACUGCACAGCGUAGUAGAAGAAUAAAAUAAACUCCCACAUAAUUCUUUCCUCAUGGUAUUAGCAGAACAGAGUGUUCACUACACAAAUUCGGCCUCGGAUGAAUAGGAUCUAGGGAAGAGGGGAGCAGCACAGCACUUCAGAGAACACGCGACCAUGACGGUAGAAAUCUGUUUCCAGGUGGACGCAUGACGGCUGGCAGGAAAUCUUGACUGUGCUGGCGCUUCAAAGCCGGACAGUGGGGACGACAGUAGAAGCUCACUGCUGGGGCAGAUGGAUGUCUAGCAGCUGGUGGUGGAUUGAGAAUAUUGAUGGGCAUCACAAAGAAUGAGGAAAACAGGCUGGAAACAAGUGUCCGGAAAGCCCGAUGCUGCUGUGUCCUACGCAGAUGGCUCCAAAAUCUAACUGACUCCUAUUUUGCUUCUGCAUUCCAAGUUUAUGGAUGUUAGGCUUUG